rnacentral:rRNA from 1 species
UACGUAGGGUGCAAGCGUUAAUCGGAAUUACUGGGCGUAAAGCGUGCGCAGGCGGUGAUGUAAGACAGAUGUGAAAUCCCCGGGCUCAACCUGGGAACUGCAUUUGUGACUGCAUCGCUGGAGUACGGCAGAGGGGGGGAUGGAAUUCCGCGUGUAGCAGUGAAUGCGUAGAUAUGCGGAGGAACACCGAUGCGAGGCAAUCCCUGGCCUGUACUGACGCUCAUGCACGAAGCGUGGGAGCAACAG